CCCUGGGAGGUCCGGGGCGGAGAGCAGCCGAGCGGCCGCCGGUGCCCACUCCCGCAGGCCCGCCCCUCGGGCUGUGACCUCCCGAGCCUGGGCAGCCCCUCGCGGCAGUCCCCGCGCCGGAAGCCCCGGAACCCGGGAUGAUGCCGGAAUUUCAGAGCGGAGAACAACCGCAGAGACCACCCCACCGCUUCCUUGCUGCGGAGGGGCACACCGACCCGAGCGGAGAGGGGACUUGCCAAAAGGCACGUAAGCAUCUGGAGCUGAGCCAGAGCUGGAGCUCAGGGCCCCAGAGUUGGGUCCAGGGCGCUCCUGGACAACUUCAUAGAGUUCCCACAAAUUCGAGGACCCCUAAAGAAGAUUGUUUGCAUACUUACUGCUCCAGACAUUGCCACAAUAGUCAUAGAUCCUCUAUGAGUUCACAAAGCCUUGCUUGGACCGGUUCCUGCUCAUGGCGUCAUAAAUGGUGGCAGGACCUUGAAGGGCUAAGGAGGCUCAAGGAGGUAGACACAUAUGAACUAGAAUCUUCAGUUAGGAACACGGCUUGCACAUCCUGGGGGAAGAUUAGCUCUGGGCUCUCCUUACUGGAAUGCUGAACACACUUAACUUCCCCUGUCUUCUCUCUCACCUCUUCUUUGUCCAGCCACGGAUUUUCUGAAAUUGCCUUCUUUGUUCAGGCCACGGGAAGAACAUCAAGAAAGAAGAGGCCCUCGGACUGGGCAUUAGUGGAGCUAAGUUUGAGUCCUGGCUCUGCUGUGUGGCUCUGGGCAAGUCCCUUCCCUUCUCUGAUACUCAGCUUCCCCUUCUAGACUGUGAAGGAAUCAGACAAGAUGAUCACUAAGGGACCUUCCAUUUUGACACCGGAAAGUGCCUUCUCAGUACCAGUGUCAGAGACCAAGAGGACAACUGAUCUUAGAAUCUGGAGAAAAGGGAGCUCUGUUCCACUUUUUGUGGUCACACAGCAUUCUACAUAGUGGACGUGAAAGGAAAAAUUAAACCUCAAACCAAGUCGCUCCGAGGAGAGGAGGUACAUGUUGAUUCUGUCGGCAUCUGGAAAGUGGGAUUCAGGAAUGCAUUUUGCAAAAUUGUGCUUUCCAAGGAAAGGAAAGAAAAACAGAUAUAGGGCAGUAUGUUGCAAGGUUCUUGUCAAAGGAAGAAGAUCCAAGGACGAAUGUUGCAAGACUGUGCUGCUAAAGGAAGUGGCUUCUUAGCUCAUUUGAACUGGAACAAAGCUUACAGAUUAUCUUGGCCACUCCCCUGGCUGGACAGAAGGGGAAACUAAGGCUCGGGGAGGAAAAGGCCUAUGCCCAAGGCCAGGCUGGGAGUUCCUGACAAGCUGGCAUUACUAGGCUUCUCAACCACCUCCUGCCUGCUGCCUUUCCUCUAGCCCUUGAGCAUGGGUCACGACCACUUCUGGUUUUGCUCCAGGCCCCUAGCCCACCCUCCGCCCUCACAUUCUCUUGGACAGCAUCCCUGAUCACAAGAUAGGACUCAAUCUGGGAACUUGGAUCUCCACCUGCCAGAUACCAGGGGCCAAAGCCAGUAAGAGGCUGGGGCAAGCUGGAGAGGAAGGAGCUGAGUCUGAUGAUGUGGCCUGACCUCAGAAAGGAAGCCUGGUCACCAGGGGGAAUUUCCCCGGGGUGAGGUCUCAUGUCUAUGCAAAUGAUGCACUCCAAUUAACCUGGACCCCAGAACGGGAGAGGGGCAAAGGGAGACAGCACUGUGCUAGGCUCCUCCUGUGCUGCGUCUCAUCUUGUCCCCAGAACAGCCACCUAGGUAGGAAAGCGGGAGGUGUGGCGGGGGGGGGGGGGUGCUGAGGCCCAGUGAGGGGAAGGCAGGUCUGCCCCAGAGAACGCAGUGCACCCCCAAGGGGACACCAGGCCUUGGAGAGCAAUGCCGAGGGUGGAGUUGGAGCCGCUGCUGUUGCCGCUGACCAGAGUGACAAUGUCAAAGCUCGAGUGGGAGAAGCCUAGCAAAGUUUCAUUUUGGGUUUCCAUCUCACUCACCUGGGGACUUUUGUCCUGGGGACAGCUAAAAGGCAAGCGGGGACGGGGACGUAGGGACCCUGACUCCGCUUGGGCAAAUCCCUGCACUCAGGUUUUCCAAAGCCCGAAGGUGGGGUGUGCAGCAGUGGCACUGUUAACCCUUUCACCGCCAGCUUCUAGAACACUCCUUGAAAAGUGGACCGAGUGGGAUGGGGGCUGUUGACAGCAAAUCUCUCCCUCCUGCCUCUUUACAUUUCACUCAGUUGAGCCUCACUAUGCCACAAAGACUUCCCUGGGGAUUUCGUUCCUCUCAAAGGCGGAACCCGCUUACUGCCUGGUUCUCCAAGGAGCUGGUCUUGCCUCCCCCAAAGCAGGGCUGCAAACAGGAGCAGAGCUCAAGUCCAGAGCAUUUGGGCGCAAAGUCUGCUCUCCACAGAGCCUGGUUGUUUGUUCUGCUGUCGAAGAACAUACCCGAGAGCAGGCAGGUCAGUGAUUCCUGGAGUUGUGUGCCACACACUAAGGCUGUGUGCCAAGGAAAGUAUGAGUGCAUAUGUGCUCUGGUGAGCGCGUGUGAAAGGCGAGUCUAGGUACUUGUGUGAAGAGUUUCGUGUAGUACGCAUAUGGACAACAGUAUCUGUAUUUCUGAGCGGCGUAUUUGUGGGCCUAAUCAUUUUAUUUUCCCGUGUGGUCCACAAUGUGCAUUUCUGUGUGUGUGUGUGUGUGUUACCAGCAGUGUGCUUCUGAUUCUGGGAUAUACAUGGUGUGUCCCCAUGGGUAUGACUGGCAGUGAUGUGGAAUUCUGUGUGUGUGAUAAAUGGGAUUUGGGGGCUUUGAGUGGACACCAGCCGUGUGGGAGAACAGAAAUCACUAGCCCAGCACAGACUUGGGAUCUCUAGAUCCAUUCCCCACCCUCCCUGCUCACCUAUCAGGCCCUCCCAGCCCCGCCCAUGGCUAUCUCCAGGUCAAGGUCCAAGGCCAUCCCAAUGAGGUAGCCACUAGGUGGUUCUGGCUGCAGCUGGCAGCACACUAGGCAGAUGGGGGUAGCUGAGAGGGAGGAGUGAGACCGUCCCACAGAAGGAAAUGCAUGUUCUGCAAACUGCUACAACAGCUGGCCCAGGGGAAGGGGCCAUUGCCAGACAGCUCCCGUAUGGCUUCUCCAGUUCUCACCUGAGAAGUGGGCAGUGAGAUGGCCUGCACUGGAGGUCUCCGGCCUCACAUGCUGCUUUUAAAAGCAUCUGCUGCCUCUGGGUUCCCGGGUAAUGACAUUACCUCUGGCUUUGUAUCUCCCUCCCUCUCUAAUUCCCCAUGGCAGAUUGGGCAGUUUCCUUGGUUUCUCACACCACCAUGUUUUUCUUAAGGCUCUUUUCUCCAUGUCUGCUUUCCUGCCCUGGCUCCUGUCCUCAUCCUUCUAUAUCGGAGGAACACUGCAAGC